UGGGGAAUUUUGGACAAUGGGGGAAACCCUGAUCCAGCCAUCCCGCGUGUGCGAUGAAGGCCUUCGGGUUGUAAAGCACUUUUGGCAGGAAAGAAACGUCAUGGGUUAAUACCCCGUGAAACUGACGGUACCUGCAGAAUAAGCACCGGCUAACUACGUGCCAGCAGCCGCGGUAAUACGUAGGGUGCAAGCGUUAAUCGGAAUUACUGGGCGUAAAGCGUGCGCAGGCGGUUCGGAAAGAAAGAUGUGAAAUCCCAGAGCUCAACUUUGGAACUGCAUUUUUAACUACCGGGCUAGAAUGUGUCAGAGGGAGGUAGAAUUCCGCGUGUAGCAGUGAAAUGCGUAGAUAUGCGGAGGAACACCGAUGGCGAAGGCAGCCUCCUGGGAUAACACUGACGCUCAUGCACGAAAGCGUGGGGAGCAAACAGG
rnacentral:rRNA from 1 species